AAGACCCAACUGCCACUCCUGGCAGGAAGGAAGUGCUAGUCACAAGAUCCAACUGCCACUCCCAGUUGCCCCUUCCCCCACCAACUAUCAGUCUUGUUUCCUUUCCACACAGGGCAAGUAAACUCUUCUUAAUCUAAUUGACUCUCCACCAAAAGGAAUUUGAGCCCCUGCUAGGGUUACCUUAAUUCACCUUCUUAAAGGAUGGAAGCUUCCAUAAGCAAAGGUGCUAAGGUGGUUCUGUUGUGCACCUGGAUGCCAGAGCCUAGAGGCACUCAUGGAGAUUGUUGAACAUCACUUUAACUCAAUCAAGCAGCCAAACUUAUCACCUGCCAACACAAUUAAUUUUUAUGGCCACAGCCAAUGGUGCUACUGUUUCCCAUGGCAAAGCAAGCCCAGAGGCCACCCCCAAGCAACCACUAGGCUGGCAGGGAUCUGGGAAAUGAUAGGAAAACAAGUGACAGGCCCAGACAGCUCUUUCUGGGCCAGGGGAAGGGAGGUGGCAAGUGGGGUGCCCCUAUCUGAACAUCGUGCUAAGAAUCGGGGUAUAGAAUGGAGAAGCCAAGCAAGUAAGGCUGAAGGUAUGAGGGGAAUGAUGACUCCUUAUGGCCUGGCCCCCAAGAUUGUAACAGAGCAGAGGAAACCUUAGUAUAGUUUGGUAUGUACCCUUCAUUUGGGGAGAAUAGAUUUCAGUUGUUUCAGAGAAGGAAAGGUAGAAUAUCACAGAUUCCACAGGGGAUGUCAACCCAAGAGCAAUUCAGGAUUGAAAUUCUGAAGACAAAACAUUCUGCAUAAGAGGAAAACAGGAAUUGUCUUAAGAGACCAAAGUGGAUGCAUGGUGAACUCACCAAUCAAUUCCAAUUGUAAAAAGAUUCAUACAGAAAGUGGAAUCAAGGCAGGUAACAAAGGAUGAGUAAAAAAGUAUGGCAUUAUAUCAAUGUCAAAAGAGUGUGGCAGGGUAAGUCAGAAUGAGCUAAGAGUGGUGGGAAAAGCUAAGGACCACAAAAGGGGCUUUUAAAGCUGUACUAGAGGAAAGAGGAGUAUCAAAGUUGGUGUAGGACCACUGCUUAGGCCAGGUGAGAUGAUGAUAACCAUCAAAAAGAGAGGACAGAGUUUCUCAAUUCUCAUUUCGCUUCUAUUUUCUGUAUCAAGAAGAAUGACUUUUGAACAGGAAAGGACAGAACAAAAAUAGCUAAAAGGAAAUUCACGCCCAAUAUAAAGAAGGGUAUAGAAAGAGCACCAGGUAAGUAGCCUUCAAUUAAUUCAGGUAAACUGGUUCAGGUGAACUUCAUCCUUGGAUACUGAAAGAAUUAGUGGUUGUGAUUGCUAAGUAACGUUUGAAAGGCCAUGGAGGUCAAGUUAUGGGAAUAACAAACAUUGGCCUGAUUUUUCAAAAGAGAAAGGAGAAAAAAUUUACAGACUAUAGGCCAAUGAGGUUGACUUUAAUUCCUGGCAAAAUUCUUGAAUGUAUUUUUAAAAAGAUUUUAUUUAGAAAUGGAAAAGAUGAUCAUGAAGAGCCAGCAUGACUUUACCAAGAACACCAGGUCAUUCCAGAUUCAUUUUAUUUCUUUUUACUUUUUUGAUAGAAUUACUAAAUAGGUAGACUGAAGGGAUGUUGUAAAUAUAAUUUGCCAAAAUUUUAGCAUGUUAUUUGAUAAAAACUUUGAUGCUCUUCUAACGGAAAAGAUGGGCUCAACCAUCAUGUGGGUAAACUAUAACCUGAGGGUUCCAUUGUACUAUGUUCUAGUUAGUGUAUAUCUAGAAUGUUCCAUUCAGUUCUAGAUACCAUAUUUUAGGGAAGCUAGUAACAGAUUGGCAAGCAUCUAUAGGAGGACACCAAAUAUGGUGGAGGGCCUUGAAUCUCCAACUAUGAUAUUUGUUGGAGUAACCAGGUGAUUUAGGCUAGAGAAGAGAUGUCUCAGAAGGGACAUGAUAGCUGCAUUUAAGUAUUUGAGUGGUUGUCAUGUAGAAGACAGUCUAGACUUCUUAUUUGGAAGAUAAGGAAGCAAUGUAUAGAAAUUGCAAAAAGAGGCAAAUUUAGACUUAAAAUCAAGAAAAAUUUUCUAACAACAAUUUCCAAAGUUUUUUGAGCUGCCUUAGGUAGUAGAGGGAUCUCUCUUUCAUUGGUGUUUGCCCAUCAGCAUUUGGAUGGCCACUUGUCAAUUAUACUGUGGUGGUGAUUUUUCAGGUAUGGUUGAGAAUAUAUGGCUGAGAUUCCUUUAAAUUCUGAAACUCUGUGAUUCUUUAUGGAAAAAAACCAAAUAAUUGUCUCUCUAGAAGACACAGUAACUUUUUGAUUUGGAUGACCAGAUCACAGCUUUGUUACAGAAUCUAACUUGUUUACAGAAUUAGAUAUGUUAGAAAUUGACUUUUCUUUUGUGUAGAAACUAGGGAGGGAAGGAGAAAUGGAUUCUCAGGGAUCUUCCUCUUCUUUGUCAUUCCUUCUCCUCUCUACCACACAUACUUCUUGGCCUUCCCAAUUUACAAAACCCUCUUUAUAUUUUGGCUUAGAACACUCAAUCUCAGUAUUUACUGCCCAUUGCCCCACCUCAGAUUUUCCUUACCUAUCAAUGCCACAAGGGAAGCUUCUGAGUUCAAGAGAUCUCUAUCUUCCAUUUGGUUAUCUUGCAGUCCUGGAGAUGCUUCUGGAUUUGAAGAUCAUUUGGAGACUAGAAAUAUGCUCUAUAUUGGACUCUUUAAGCCUCACACACCAAGCCUGGGAACAUAGGACAGGCCCCGUGAGCAUGUAGACAAGCAUUGUACUCAGUUGUGUUUUAGUCAUGUCCAAUGCUUUAUGACCCCAUGUGGGGUUUUCUUGGCAAAGAUACUUAAGUGGUUUGCCAUUUCCUUCUCCAGCUUAUUUUGUAGAUGAGGAAACUGAGGCCCAAAAGAUUAAAGGACUUUCCUAGGAUCACACAGCUAGUAAAUACCUGAGACCAGACCUGAAUUCAUGGAGAUGAGUCUUCCUGACUCUAGACCUUGCACUCUAACCACUGAGCUUCCUAGCUGCCCCAAACUGACAUUGUGGUCUCCAAAUGAACAUGUCUUCACACAAAACAUGAAAAGGGUCAGUCUAGCUCUUAUCUAUGUUGACAGUGAUUCUCUGGCAGGAGCGUAAAUGUGUCUACCUAGUUCCAGGUACAAAACUCCAUGCUAUCACUGGAAUUGCUUCUUGUGAUUCUCAAUGAAAAAAAUAGAGUUUUAAUGUUAUAGGAAUUUGCAUUAGCUAAAUUGAAGGCCAUUUCUCAGAUCUCCUUUCAAUGGUUCUCAAUAAUUCCAGACUGGAUUCCAAUCUGGAAUAUUUUCCCCCAGCAAAUUCCCUUCAUUUUUCAUAUUUAGAGAGGAAAUAAUGAAAAUUUUAAAAAUCACCAGACUUGAAAUUAAGAGACUUGGGUCCAAAAUCUUUCUUUAGCCCUCACUAGCUAUGUGUCUGCACCUAUUGCUGAUUUUUCUCAUCUGUAAAAUGGGAAUAAUGGAACUAGUGUCAUCUACUUCAAAGGAUUAUUGUGAGCACAACACUUUGCAAACCAUAAAGUAUUAGGUAAAUAUGUUAUCAGAAUUGAUUGUUGUAAUGUUACUGUCACUUUCCAGGAUUCAAUGUGCAAUUUCAGCUCUCAAGAGACUAUUAGAUAGGCUGACUGCAAUUACGGCACAUUGCCACCAAGUAGGUGGAGGUUAUGAGAUCAUAGUUUUAUGGUCUGAAACUAGCAGCCAGAUAUUAGCAUGUUUUUCAAAGAAGAGGGAGGAGGUAGCCAAGCAUUAAAAGACAUUAUAUUUUUAAAAGAAAUUUACAGAGAAAAAUUUAAAGGGGGAGAUAGUUAAGAUGUACCAAAAUGUAACUUUUAAACUAAUCUUUAAAUUUGAUUCAUCCUUGUUUAAUAUCUCCUGAAUUUCUCUUCCAUGUAUGAAUAGAAUCUUUCUCUCAAUUACCCAGAAUUCUUAAUCCAAAUAAAUCUUCUCCAGUGAUGACCACAGGACUUUGGAUUCAGUUAGUAUCAAAGACCCCUUUGAUACUUUAUCUCUACCAUUCUGGCUAAUAGCCCACGAAUCUCUAGCUAUUGUCAUUUAUAUAGCACUUUAUAAACAUUAUAUUAUUUGAUCUUUACAACAACUCUCUGAGGUAAGUGUUAUUAUUAUCCCCAUUUUUCAGAAAAGGAAAAUGAGAUUUAAUGAAAUUACAUGACUUGCCCAUAGUCAUAACGUUGGUAAAUGUAGUAAGUGUGAAAGACAGGUGCCAGAAAUCUCCCAACUCCCAGAAUAGACUGAUUCUAUCACAUGAAAUUAAUCCUGUUGCUCCUUUCUCUCAGAAUCUGCUGAUGACCAAUCCCCUCAUUUUAUAGAUGAGGAAAAUGAUACUCGGGGAGAAAUGGCUUACCCAGGAUGUCCCAACCAAUCAGUGACAAGAGUUCAGAUUAGAACCAAUGGCUUCAGCUUGGUGCUUUCCCCCAUCUACCAAGUUGUCUCUUUCCUAGAUGUCAUUCAAGUUGUGGCCCUGGUUGGCCCUAGAGAAAAUGGGAGCAUCUGGAGACAGUGACCCAGCUCUGUCAGUCACAUCAAGAAGUGGAUACUUGUGAGAUAGAUAUCGCUAAGUGCUGGGUACCCAAAGAAAACCAAAAAUAGUCCUUGCCUUCAAGGAACUCCCAUUUUAGUGGAGAAGACCACAUGCAAACAGCUCGUGGGUAGGUAACAUGCUUCAUCAUAGAUUCUCUGAAGACAUGGUUGUUUGUCUUCCCAUUGGAUGGGCCAAAGCUUGAGAAAAUGACAGAAAUCAUACAUAGCACCGAUUAAAAAGACUCGGAGCAUAGGGCGCUCUUGAGCAAGCUUUUCCACUCCCAACCCUGACCUGUGACAUUCCUGCUCUCCUAGUCACAAUCAGAGAUAGUGAUACAGAGCUUGUGUUCAGUCUCCCUGUUCCUUGAGACACAGCAAUAUCGAAAUCAGGCCAGUGAAUAGCCCUCCAAUGGCCUCUAAAUAUUCAAGUGAAAGGAAGAGUCCAUUGAUGCAGUAAACUUCGUUGUUGUCUUAUUUUAAGAAAUUGCCUCGGCCAUCCCAACCUUCAGCAACCUCCACCUCUAUUAGUCAAGCAACCAUCAACAUGGAGGCAGGACGUUCCAGCCGCCAAAAGAUUAUGACAUGACUAGCUAACGACUCAGAUGAUGAUUAGCAUUCUUUAGCAAUAAAGUAUUUUUAAUUAAGUUUGCAUGUUGUUUGUUUUAGCCAUCAGACAUAUUGCACAGUUC